rnacentral:rRNA from 1 species
GAUGAACGCUAGCGGAACGCCUAACACAUGCAAGUCGAACGAGAGUUAUUUUGUAGCAAUACAAGAUAAUAAAAGUGGCAAACGAGCGAGUAACACGUACUGAACCUGCCCAGAAGUUGAGGCCAACUACAGAGAUGUAGCUAAUCCUCAAUAGUAUCUAAGUGACGAAAUUAGCUUAGAUUAAAGAUUUAUCGCUUUUGGAGGGGGGUGCGUCCUAUCAGGUUGUUGGUGAGGUAAUGGCUCACCAAGCCUAUGACGGGUAGCCGGUCUGAGAUGAUGUCCGGCCGCGAUGGGACUGAGAUACGGCCCAUACUCCUACGGGAGGCAGCAGUGGGGAAUCUUGCACAAUGGGCGAAAGCCUGAUGCAGCGAUUCCGCGUGGAGGAUGACGCAUUACGGUGUGUAAACUCCUUUUCUGGUGGAAGACGAAUGACGGUACACCAGGAAUAAGGGACGGCUAACUACGUGCCAGCAGCCGCGGUAAUACGUAGGUCCCAAGCGUUAUCCGGAUUUACUGGGCGUAAAGCGUCUGUAGCCUGAUAUGUAAGUCUGUUUUCAAAUACCUGGACUCAAUCGAGGGAAGGGGAUAGAUACUGCAUAUCUAGAGAUAUUUGGGGGUUAGUGGAAUUUCCGGUGGAGCGGUGAAAUGCGUUGAUAUCGGAAAGAACGCCAAAAGCGAAAGCAGCUAACUACAAUACAUCUGACGGUGAGAGACGAAAGUUUGGGUAGCAAACGGGAUUAGAUACCCCGGUAGUCCAAACCUUAAAUUAUGCUUGCUAGGUGUUUAGAUCCUUCGGGAUUUGAGUGCCGUAAUCUAACGAGUUAAGCAAGCCGCCUGGGUAGUAUAUUCGCAAGAAUGAAACUCA